GCGACACUCCUCUCCGCGACACUCCUCUCCGCUCUCCGCAGCCUGCGUGAGGGGCUGUUGCUGCUCAGCGGGGCCACAGCGGCGGGACUCGGCGACUGCGCAGCGCCGCCAUGGAGCGGACCCCCAUCCCGGUGCUCACCGUGCAGACGGCGCCCUACGAGGACCAGCGGCCGACGGGCGGCGGAGGGCUGCGGCGGCCCACGGCGCUCUUCGAGAGCCAGCGCAACUACCUGCCCAACUUCGUGCAGAGCCUCCUGUCCUCCGUCGACCUCCGCGACCGCCAGGGUUGCACCAUGGUGGUGGGCAGCGACGGCAGGUACUUCAGCAAGACGGCCAUCGAGAUCGUCGUCCAGAUGGCCGCGGCCAACGGGAUCGGCAGAUUGGUUAUUGGACAGAACGGUAUCUUAUCCACACCUGCUGUUUCAUGUAUCAUCCGAAAGAUCAAAGCAGCUGGUGGAAUUAUUUUAACAGCUAGCCACAGUCCUGGGGGACCCGGAGGGGAGUUUGGAGUCAAGUUCGAGGUUGCCAAUGGAGGACCUGCUCCAGAUAUAGUUUCAGAUAAAAUCUAUCAAAUCAGCAAAACCUUGGAGGAAUAUGCCAUUUGUCCUGAUCUCAGAGUUGAUUUGUCACGCCUAGGAAGACAAGAAUUUGAUCUGGAGAACAAAUUCAAACCUUUCAGAGUGGAAAUUGUGGAUUCUGUGGAUAUCUACCUCAAUCUCCUUCGAAAUAUCUUUGACUUCAAUGCUAUUAGAAAUUUGCUGACCGGACCCAACCAGAUCAAAAUAAGGAUUGAUGCCAUGAAUGGAGUUAUGGGACCUUAUGUGAGAAGAAUCCUGUGUGAUGAAUUGGGAGCCCCUGCAAAUUCUGCCAUAAACUGUAUUCCUCUGGAGGAUUUUGGUGGACAGCCUCCUGAUCCCAAUUUAACAUAUGCAACUGCCUUGCUGGAGGCUAUGAGAGGUGGCGAGUAUGGAUUUGGAGCUGCUUUUGAUGCUGAUGGAGACCGCUACAUGAUCCUUGGCCAAAAUGGUUUCUUUGUUAAUGCGUCAGAUUCAUUGGCUAUAAUUGCUGCCCAUCUGUCUUGCAUUCCAUACUUUUGUCAUAUGGGUGUCCGAGGAUUUGGCAGGAGCAUGCCUACCAGCACAGCCCUGGACAAAGUGGCAAAAGUAAUGAAGGUUCCUGUGUAUGAGACACCAACAGGAUGGAGAUAUUUUUCCAAUCUCAUGGACUCUGGACGUUGCUCGCUUUGUGGAGAGGAAAGCUUUGGCACUGGGUCUGAUCACCUUCGAGAGAAAGAUGGACUAUGGGCUGUGCUGGUUUGGCUUUCAAUCCUAGCAGCUCGAAAGCAGAGUGUGGAAGAGAUUGUCAGGGAUCACUGGGCAAAAUUUGGCCGACACUACUACUGCAGGUUUGAUUAUGAAGCACUGGAACCCAGAACAGCAUAUUUUAUAAUGAGAGACCUGGAAGCUUUGAUCACUGACAAAUCAUUCAGUCAUCAGCAGUUUGCUGUGGGUAACAAUAUCUACAGUGUGGAAAGAACGGACAGCUUUGAGUAUGUAGAUCCUGUGGAUGGCACUGUGACCAAAAGACAGAACAAGAACAAAGCAGCUGAAAAAAAAAACCCCAGCAGUAAGAGAGUCCUUGUUAUGAGGAGCAGGAGGAAAUACACAAGAUCAUUUCUAGACUUCAGAGGGGAGAAAAAAGAAUAAUGAGGGCUGCGGAUUAUUUUUUCAGAUGCUUCCAGGCUUAUCUUCAGAAUGAGUGCUUCUAGCCAUGUGAGAGCUACUCUCCGGAUCUAUGCAGAGAGUUACGAAAAGGAUCCUAGCCAACACAAUAAGGAACCACAGGCUGUGCUGAGUCCUCUUAUAGCAAUCGCACUGAAAAUAUCUCAGAUUCAUGAGAGGACAGGGCGAAAGGGACCCACUGUCAUCACCUGAAGCCACAGAAGAUUGUUAAACCAGGGCCAAAAGAGGAGCAGCAAGGAAGAGACAGGAUCUUGCUGAAACAUGUUAGCCAUUUGUGCCUUGUAUGAUUAUAAAAGUUUUCUUGGGGAUAGAGGUAGGGAGGGAAGAAAAAUUCAAUAUAAUAUUGAGCAUAUUCAUUUGCAUUGAUCUCCAAAUACAGUAGUGUAUUGAUUUUGUUUUACCUGCAAUAUCUUAAUUUCAGUUAACAAUAUAACCAAAGAAAGAGGCCUUAACCUUCAACUGUUCUCAACAAUGUGACAGAAAAGGAAAACUGCUUGGUUUUGAAUGCUGUAGUAAAAGUUGGGGAGAUUUCAGUUAGGAAGAGAGGGGACAAGUUGCAAAACAAAGACAUGCUUGGUAAAUAUUGUUUGGGAUCCUUGUCACCUUCUUGCUGGUUUACAAAGAGGUAUACAGAGCAUGUCUGAGGCAUAUGGGGCUGUAUACUACGCUUUGCAAAGGGUGCAUUUCCGCACCUGACACCACUCUUCCUCUCCUAUCUCUCCCACUGCUCACAGAUGCACGCUGGCAGCAGUGUUGUAUACACACUUACACAGGCUCCCAAAGAAGGAGUUAUCCCAUAUUUUUUUUUUUUACCCCUGCCUUUAAAGCAUAUCAAUGUGAUUUGUGCAUUUAGAUUUUCCUGAUUUUUUUGACUGUUUUUUUUUUUUUUCCUCCAAAGAAAGCAUUUGUGCUAUAGAAGCUGAUUGUGACCUUCCAGCAAUAUGUCGGGAGUGGAAUCUGGCUGGCUUUUGCAAUAUUCCUCAUGUCAGGAGGUGAUAUUGGUGCUUACUAUGUUUGAGAGGUAAUCACUGCAAGUUCAGCAAUUUUUCAUGAAAGAGUUAUUAUGAAAGUUUUGUAAGUCUUUGGAAUACUUAUGCUCCACUUACCUCGAAGUGGUAAGUGAAGCGUGUAGUGAAGAGGAAAUGAAAACAAAUGCUGAUGGAUUAAAUAGAGAUACUUGUCUGAUUCACCAGCUGGACGCAGUUUGCAUUAGAUUAUUUGUAACGGUGGAUCAUGGGAAAAAAAUCUGAGGAGUGCAAAGGGAGAAUAGACAUCCCGGCAUAGAUCUGGGAAGGAUACUGGGGAUAUGGACAUCAGCAUUUUUCUGCUUGUGAAAUGAUACUUCAGUUCUAGCUACAACACUGUGCUCUGAAGAAGAAUACAAACACUUUAUGCAUGUCACUUGUUUGAAAGCUUUGCUUCCUUGGGAACAGUGUGGUCACUUUUAUCAUUUGUCAAGGUGGCAAGGUACAACUUGCCUCUUUGCAGUGUGUUUCAAUUCAUUGUGGUUGUCAAAUUUUAGUGCAAUUUAUGUAAUAUUUCAGCAAAGGAAAAUGUUUUGAUUCAACACUUCUGUCAAAAAAUUGCCACGGCACUUAGUACGCAAUAAAGAGUAAUGCUGUAUUUCUGUCUUAAUACGUAAUCAUGGACAAGACACUGCACUUUCAAGCAUCCUAAUAAAAAUGCCUUUAAUACAA